UGGGGAAUUUUGGACAAUGGGCGAAAGCCUGAUCCAGCAAUGCCGCGUGUGUGAAGAAGGCCUUCGGGUUGUAAAGCACUUUUGUCCGGAAAGAAAUCCUUGGCUCUAAUACAGUCGGGGGAUGACGGUACCGGAAGAAUAAGCACCGGCUAACUACGUGCCAGCAGCCGCGGUAAUACGUAGGGUGCAAGCGUUAAUCGGAAUUACUGGGCGUAAAGCGUGCGCAGGCGGUUUGCUAAGACCGAUGUGAAAUCCCCGGGCUCAACCUGGGAACUGCAUUGGUGACUGGCAGGCUAGAGUAUGGCAGAGGGGGGUAGAAUUCCACGUGUAGCAGUGAAAUGCGUAGAGAUGUGGAGGAAUACCGAUGGCGAAGGCAGCCCCCUGGGCCAAUACUGACGCUCAUGCAUGAAAGCGUGGAGAGCAAACAGGAUUAGAUACCCUGGUAGUCCACGCCCUAAACGAUGUCAACUAGUUGUUGGGGCAUUCAUUUUCCUUAGUAACGUAGCUAACGCGUGAAGUUGACCGCCUGGGGAGUACGGUCGCAAGAUUAAAACUUAAAUGAAUUGACGGGGUCAUAGCUGUUUCCU
rnacentral:rRNA from 1 species